rnacentral:rRNA from 1 species
UACGUAGGGGACUAGCGUUGUCCGGAAUCAUUGGGCGUAAAGAGCGUGUAGGCGGUCCGGUAAGUCCGCUGUGAAAGUCGGGGGCUCAACCCUCGAAUGCCGGUGGAUACUGUCGGGCUAGAGUGCGGAAGAGGCGAGUGGAAUUCCUGGUGUAGCGGUGAAAUGCGCAGAUAUCGGGAGGAACACCGGUGGCGAAGGCGGCAUCCUGGACCGACAUUGACGCUGAUGAGCGAAAGCUAGGGGAGCAAACGGG